GAUGAACGCUAGCUACAGGCUUAACACAUGCAAGUCGAGGGGAAACGGCAUCGAAAGCUUGCUUUUGAUGGGCGUCGACCGGCGCACGGGUGAGUAACGCGUAUCCAACCUGCCCAUCACUUGGGAAUAACCUUGCGAAAGUAAGACUAAUGCCCAAUGACAUCCCACGAAGGCAUCCGAAUGGGAUUAAAGAUUUAUCGGUGAUGGAUGGGGAUGCGUCUGAUUAGCUUGUUGGCGGGGUGACGACCCACCAAGGCAACGAUCAGUAGGGGUUCUGAGAGGAAGGUCCCCCACAUUGGAACUGAGACACGGUCCAAACUCCUACGGGAGGCAGCAGUGAGGAAUAUUGGUCAAUGGGCGAGAGCCUGAACCAGCCAAGUAGCGUGCAGGAUGACGGCCCUAUGGGUUGUAAACUGCCUUUAUAAGGGAAUAAAGUGGGUCACGUGUGACUUUUUGCAUGUACCUUAUGAAUAAGAACCGGCUAAUUCCGUG
rnacentral:rRNA from 1 species